CCUAUCAAUGCCAGCUGUCUUAAUCCACUGAUUCUUAGAAACUUAUCAUAAUUUUUUUUUGCAAGCUGUAAGUAAAACCAUCACUCUCACACUUAUGCUUAGGGUUCUACUAUAGAAGUUUUCUUUAAAAACCACCAGUUCAAUGGAGACAACACGAGACUGACACUCAGUCCAUCACACACUGUACUUUGAGGAACAUACAAUAAUUGAACAUGGCAUUGAGUUACUUAACAUCUAAACAGACGGCUGAUGGUAUUUGAGCUUUGUAAAACACUCCUGGACUCAAGAACUAAAAUGAAAACAAGCAAGCACAGAAACAAAGCUAAAGAAGCAAGUGUGAGGAACACUGCAGCUUUGCCCAGUCUGAGCUCCUGACAAGAAGUCGCCUCUGCAAUGCCUCCCACAGGGUACUUGGCACACACGCAACAGCUUACUGGCGUCAACUGCUCCCUGUCACUACCCUGUCCAGCCAAACCCAUGUGUGUGGAACCGGUGAUGCCCGACUCUCACGCCUCCCAGAACCAGGCCCCGAGCAGCACCGGGCUCCGCUGGGGGCCACCCAGAAGAAACCCAGGAACCUCUCUGCACCCCGUCUGCAGAGCUGAACGGAAGACUGAGGUCUUGGCAACAGUCACACAACACAGCGAGAAGACAGGGCACGUGCAGGCCAGGGCGAGAGGCAACGACCCACUGGUGAAGAGCAGAUGCCGAGGAGGACAGGCCCAGGACGGAGCAGAGGGAACGCCAGGUGGGGCAGGCCACACAGCCAACACUGACACCUCCCGAGGAGUUCAGGUGAGGACACGCUGGACUGGCUAGCAAAACCCGGAUGUAGGCAAGUGGAGGGCACUAUAACUGUUUCAGGUGGCUUCUAGCAGUUUCUCCACGAAAGCCUGAAAUACUUAGAAGACUCACGUGCAAACAUAAACUGCAUCACCCGUACUUUAAGUGCCAUUUUAUCACAAUAAAAUAAUGCCACGAAAGUUAUGCAGACACUCACUUAUAUGGUUUCUGAGGCAAGAUACUGAUCCGUGUCUUGUCGAGUAUCUUUUUUAACUUGUUCCUCCCUCCAACGGUAUUGGCUUUUCUCUUCUUGUUUACUUUUUGAGUCCUAUCACCUGCUCUACAUCGACAGCGAGGUCUGGGAUGGAGUAAGCGGCUGGCCUUUUUGAUGUCUCCAAUUUUAGGAAGAUUAUUUUCAAAUUCUUCUAGAAAUCGAGUCAUUGCAGGGUCUCCUUCAAAGUCAUUGAAGUGAUUAUUCACCCACAAUAAGACUACCCGUGUCACCUGAAAAACCAGUUUUGGUAAGUGGCCUUCUUUUUUGUGCUAAUGAUUUAAGUUAUUUAAUAAAAGAUACCUAC
rnacentral:lncRNA from 1 species